rnacentral:rRNA from 1 species
AUGACUAGUAAAAAUGAUAGGGUGACUUGGGGACUUAAUAGUAAUGGCAAAUUUUCUACCAAGUAUGUGUAUAAACGGCUGGAGAGCUCCAUCAGCGGGUGCCACUAUAGGUGGAUCUGGAGAGCUAAACUGCCUCUCAAAAUUAAGAUCUUUCUUUGGCAAAUGUCACAGGAUGCAAUUAUGACUAGGCAAGUGAUGCGGAGGAAAAAAUGGCCAGGAAAUACUAGUUGCUCUUUCUGCAUGGAUGUUGAGAGCUCUCAACACCUUUUCUUUACUUGCCCUGUGGCUAGGUGUGUUUGGUGCUCCAUUGGGGUGUCGCUGGGGACUGAUAAAUGCCCCAAUAAUUACUGGCAUUUUUUCGCUUGGUGCUAUACUUUUUACCCUGGUGGAGAGAAGUUCUAUACGGUGGGGCAUGCUGCUUGA